UACAGAGGGGGCAAGCGUUGUUCGGAAUUACUGGGCGUAAAGGGCGCGUAGGCGGCCUGUUAAGUCGAACGUGAAAUCCCCGGGCUCAACCCGGGAACUGCGUCCGAUACUGGCAGGCUUGAAUCCGGGAGAGGGAUGCGGAAUUCCAGGUGUAGCGGUGAAAUGCGUAGAUAUCUGGAGGAACACCGGUGGCGAAGGCGGCAUCCUGGACCGGCAUUGACGCUGAGGCGCGAAAGCCAGGGGAGCGAAACGGG
rnacentral:rRNA from 1 species